UUAUUUUUUUUCCCCUCCUGCCUUUAGGUUUUCUGAGGACAAAAAUCCGUAAAACAAGAAAGAUGUAAAACAAUUACAAAAUAAUAUGAGUUGGAAAUCUGCAUACAGUGGAAGCAUUCUAAACCGGCAUUUGUUGGGACCGGCAAAAAAUGCCGGUAUAGAGGGCAUGCCGGUUUAGAGAACUUUUCCCUUUUCAACCGAGAAUGAUCUUCCGUGUGCCGUAAAACCGGAUUAGAGGGCGUGUAAAUGAUCAUAAAUUUACUAGCUUCUGCCGGGACCAUAUUCUGGUGCCGAUAUUGAGAGCAUGCUAGCAUCAGCCGGGACCAAAUUCUGGUGCCGAUAUUGAGAGCAUGCCAGAUUGGAGGGCUGCCGGUUUAGAGGGCUUCCACUGUAUAUGUUUAACAUUUCCCUAUGUAGUUUGGGUCCUUGGGUCUUUGAUAUUUUUUUCUGUAGUAUAUUGAGGACAUUUCAUCUUAAUUUUUAACAAUGUCAUAUUUUAACAUUAUUGAAGUGAGUGCUGAAACAACACAUGAACCUGACUGUUUAGUGUCCGGUGCAAGCACCCACUUAUCAGUCAUCCUUAGACACUGAUUGUGUGGAAUAUGGUAGUUUGACAUUUAAAAUAUCACAAGCAGUAUGAACCUCAUAUAUUAAUACACCUGAAGAUGUGUAUAUAUACAUUUAUAUGAUUGUCCACUUACUAUGAGAAAACAACAUACAUGUUUUAUGCAUUAUUAAUCAUAUCAACUGGAUUACUAUACAAUUUAUUCCAGUGUUUUACAAUAAAAGUUUCAAUAAGCAUGGAUGGUCUGAACUUGAAAUCAUGCUAUAAUCCUAUUAAACACACUGGAUGAAAAUAUACUACAAACACUGAUAGUAGUAAAUAGCAUCAACAGACAAAUGGAAAUUAUUCUACUCCGUAUAUGUAAAGUGGCAAAGUGUCAAGUUUACGAAAGUUAGCUUCCUUUCUAAUGACAUUCUGUAGGGAAUCCUACUUUGUUCUCUGGGAAAGUCUAUUCUGAUCGCCAAGAAAACCAAGUAAUGUUAGUAAAGUUCCAAGGGGGUGUAUGAAACAUUGUUUAUACUUCUAUGCCAGUGUGGAAGAGAAACUGAAAAUUUAUAGGAGAACUCUAAGAAUGUAUAUUAAACCCUUAACAGAUUGCAUGUAAUGUCAGAGACUGCUUUAGAGAUGAUCCAACACUAUGAAGAUCUUCCUCUGCUACCAUCAAGGCACAUGUUGAUAACACACCCUACAUGAUUAUGGACAAAUGACGAUCAACGACUCUCGUCACAAUUCCAGUACAGUUGGUUUGGCGUCUCUCAUAAGACAACUAUGUACACUCUUAGGAAUGAUCUGGAAAUGACGUAUGACAAAGGUUUCAGCUCACUUGGUUCCAGGGUCUCCAAACCCUCUUAAGAAUCACUCAACGUUGAUCAUCUCUGAUGAGAAUGUACGUGGUUUUGUUAAACCCAACAGGUUGUAAGCUUGGAUGAGUUUUGGUUCAGCAGCUUCAGCUGAAGACUUAACAACAGUCGGAGCAGUGGAAACAUCUCACACUCCUCCCAAACGAGGGCAAACUCUGUUUUGUCAGUGUUCUGGGAUUACAAAGGAGUCGUACUACGGAUUACCUAAAAAUACUAGACCAUUAGUGGCCAAUAAAAUGCUGGAGCAAAUGUACAAGCAUAUCCAGGCCAGAUGCUGAAGCAACUAAAGGUGUUUUCUCCUACCAGGACAAUGCACCUGUGCGUAAGUCUGUUGUCGCCCAUGGCUGCAAUGCAUGACUGUUGCUUUGAAGUCAUUGAACAUCCUCCUUUUCACCAGUUUUGGCACUGUCAGAAUCCUGUCUCUUCAAAAACUUGAGGAAAGAAAUGAGUGAAGAGUAUCAGGCACAAUGUGGUGACAUUAUUUCUCCUCCGGAGUACUAUUACACCAUCUGGUAUUACACUUCUGGUAGGAAUGUAGACAAGUAGGUCUAGUGGAUAGCUUGACCCAGACCACAACAAUAACCUGUCUAGAUAAGUAGGUCUAGUGGAUAGCUUGACCCAGACUACUACAAUAACCUGUCUAGACAAGUAGGUCUAGUGGAUAGCUUGACCCAGACCACUAUAAGGGCCUGUCUAGACAAGUAGGUCUAGUGGAUAGCUUGAUCCAGACAGCUACAGGGGCCUGGCUAGACAAGUAGGUCUAGUGGAUAGCUUGAUCCAGACCGCUACAGGGGCCUGGCUAGACAAGUAGGUCUAGUUGAUAGCCUACAAAGGACCUGAUUAAAAACAUUAAGUUUGAUAUACCCUUUCAGCCAUUCAUUCUUGUGUGAUAAGCAGAUUUUCGUUUCAAUGUUUGAAAUAUGUGAGGUGUUGUUGACAUGCUCUGAGGGUGAGCUAUGUUUGAAAUAUGUGAGGUGUUAUUGACAUGCUCUAAGGGGUGAGCUAUGUUUGAAAUAUGUGAGGUGUUGUUGACAUGCUCUGAGGGUGAGUUAUGACUAUGGGACAGGUACUGGAGGAGGGCCACUAACUCAGGCACUAUGCAAUAACAAGACACCUUUACAGGAAUCUUGACAAUCACGUAGUAUUACAUGCACCCCUGGACAGUCAUGUCCAAAGGGGAGACAUAAGACAUGGAUUAAGUGCAAGAAGUUUGGCUACCUAUGAACGCAGACAUCAAUUGGGUCUGGACAAAUAGACCAUUCAAAAGUGUAUUUGCGAAUUUUGAUUGUCAUAAUAACUGUUGCUAAUACAGGAAAGUUGAGUGAGUAAAUAUUGAUUAAAGCCGCAUCAGCAAUUUUGAAGCUAUUCAUUGUGAUUAAAGGAAUGGAUGUUUUUCAUCACCAAAUACUGUUUAUAGGAAAUAGCUAUCUUUAGGCAUUAAUUUGACACACGUUUUAAGCCUAUUUGCUGUUAUCCAAUAUUUUCCCAUAUAUAUAGGCACAUACAACCUUUGAUCAGUAAAUACAACAAUAAAUGGCACACUUCAACUGUUAAAGAUUUUAUCACUGUUAACAUAUGAAAAUAUGGAUCCUUUUCUGUUGCUGUUCAGAUUUUAAUAUUACUUUAACAUAUAUUUGAUAUUUGUAAAGAUAUAUUAUAGAAUCUAUUUUUUCUUAAUUGUUACAAUUUCAUUUCUUCUUUGAUAUGAAUAAUAACAACAGUACUGGUUUUUCAAAUAUUGUCUUCAAAUGGCCAAUGUCUUGAAACCUGACAAACUCAAACAGCAUGACAGCUAUGGUAUUGUAGAGACAUGUCAUAAAAGAUAUGUACUUAUAGAGAUAUAUAUUUUCUGGGAAACAAGAGGGCAGUAUUGACUCUGUAUGGUCAGUGGACUCGGAAGACAUUGACCAUAGGGGGGGUUAUACAUCAUCUCGGUUCAUCUCCGUCGACAGCUACAGUGGACUGUAACAAUCUGCAUGGAUUCAUGUAGAGCUAGGGCUGCUACUUCUUAACAAGCAAAUAUUGUGCUGUCAAUUUGUUGAAAUAAAUCUAUGUUAUUAUGUUACAUUGUUGUGUACAUAUGGCAUAUGUAAUUAUAAAGUAUGUAUGUUGUAUUAUAAUUCAGAUUUGAAAAUGGUUAUUAACUAAAGUGUUGUUCAUACAUGA